rnacentral:lncRNA from 1 species
CCUGGGGCCUCACCAGAUGCAGAUGCUGGUGCCACGCUUCCUGUACAGCCUGCAGAGCCAUGGCUGCACAAACCUUUCUUCCUCAUAAAUCACCCAGCCUCGGGUGUUCCUUUCUAGCAACACACACGGACUGAGCCGGAUGACAUGAAGCAGCUGUUCCCGCCUCCUCCUGGCACCUCCCUGACUCACGCACUUGGUGCGUGGAGGGGUCGUGAGCGGGCACAGGCAGCCACUUCGCUGCUUGCCUCAUCAGCCUCACAGUUCCCCACAGGCUGUCGAGGAUGCCCUGAUGUCUGUUCUCACAUCACAUUGCGCUCCAAGUACCCCGGCUGCAACCAGAGCUCAGCAAACCGGGACCAGAGGGCACAUCCACCCUGCCUGCCCAUGUCAACAGAGUUGUGUGGGAGCCAGCCGGCCCCCAGGAAGACCCCAGAUCUUCCUGCCCCUGACCACAGCUCUGUCCCUGGAAGCAUAUGCUGCAGACACUUGCUCUGCUGCAGAUUUUCUGCACAACCCCUCCUCAUGGGGGAAGGUUUGGUACCUGAAUGAGGCCUCUUUUGACCUCUAUUCCUAUCACUAUUUUUGGUGACCUCAAUAUUUAUGAAGGUAAUAACUUGGUCUUUAAUCCAGACAAUUUUCACCUCCA